rnacentral:rRNA from 1 species
AUAUACAGCCAUAGCACCCUGAGAAUGCCUGAUCUCAUCUGAUCUGGGAAGCUAAGCAGGGUCGGGUCCGGUCAGUACUUGGAUGGGAGACCAGCUGGGAAUAGAGGGUGCUGUGGGCU